UACGGGGGGAGCAAGCGUUGUUCGGAUUUACUGGGCGUAAAGGGCGCGUAGGCGGCCACUGCAAGUCGGUUGUGAAAUCUCCGGGCUUAACCCGGAAAGGUCAAUCGAUACUGCAGGGCUAGAGUGCAGAAGGGGCAACUGGAAUUCUCGGUGUAGCGGUGAAAUGCGUAGAUAUCUGGAGGAACACCGGUGGCGAAGGCGGCAUCCUGGACCGGUAUUGACGCUGAGGCGCGAAAGCCAGGGGAGCAAACGGG
rnacentral:rRNA from 1 species